UUCUCUGGGAUAGAAUGAAACAAGUUGGUUAAACUUUACGUGAAGGUAUCUACUUAAGAGUGACGUAACACUGUCGUGAACGUGUCAUAGACA